GAAAACCCUUGGCAGCAGUAAUGAAUUUUAUGUAAUAUACGAAAGUAAGACAUAGGUAGGAUAAAAAAAAUCUGUCAAAUUAAGUGCCAGCCGACGCGGUAAGACUUAAGGAUUUAUUUUUUAAUAAAAAGCAAAAAGCGUGUUAAGGAUUUUUUAAAAAAAAAAAAUAAAUAGAAUUUUUUUCGUAAUUGUAAUAUGUUAAAAUGAAAAAAAGAAUUUUUUAUAUGAAGAUAAUUUAUUUUUUUUUUUCUUAAAUACGAAGGUUUGGGGAGCAAAUAGGAUUAGGUACCCUGGUAGUCUAUACAGUAAAAUAAUAUCGCUUGAGUAGUACGGUCGCAAGAUUGAAAUUCAAAAGACUUGGCUGUUCAUUGUUUAUUAGAGGAGCGCGUCGCUUAAUUCGAUUAUCCGCGAGAGACCUUACCGAAGUUUGAAUUUAUUAACAGGUGUUGCAUGGCCGUCGUCAAUUUCUGUUUGAGACAAAAAGGGGUUUAAUCCUAUCAAGGUUGAAGUCCGGUAUUAUGACCCUUAUAUUUCGGGGUUAGGCGCGCUACAUUUCUCUCUUAGAAAAGGAGGGGUUCGGAUUGUUUUUAAAAUAAGAUAAUGAAGUUGAAUUUAAUAGUAAUUGAAAAGUAGUGCGUUUCAAUGAAUGUUAUUGCAAUGUUAGUACAAAUAGUCCGUCGCCAGCUUAGAAAUAGGCUGUAA
rnacentral:rRNA from 1 species